UACGAAGGGGGCUAGCGUUGCUCGGAAUCACUGGGCGUAAAGGGCGCGUAGGCGGAUCUUUAAGUCGGGGGUGAAAGCCCAGGGCUCAACCCUGGAAUUGCCUUUAAGACUGCAUCGCUUGAACAUCGGAGAGGUAAGUGGAAUUCCGAGUGUAGAGGUGAAAUUCGUAGAUAUUCGGAAGAACACCAGUGGCGAAGGCGACUUACUGGACGAUUGUUGACGCUGAGGUGCGAAAGCGUGGGGAGCAAAACAGG
rnacentral:rRNA from 1 species